GAUGAACGCUAGCGGCAGGCUUAACACAUGCAAGUCGAGGGGUAUUUAUCUUCGGAUAGAGAGACCGGCGCACGGGUGCGUAACGCGUAUGCAAUCUACCUUUUACAGAGGGAUAGCCCAGAGAAAUUUGGAUUAAUACCUCAUAGUAUUACGACUCGGCAUCGAGAUGUAAUUAAAGUCACAACGGUAAAAGAUGAGCAUGCGUCCCAUUAGCUAGUUGGUAAGGUAACGGCUUACCAAGGCUACGAUGGGUAGGGGUCCUGAGAGGGAGAUCCCCCACACUGGUACUGAGACACGGACCAGACUCCUACGGGAGGCAGCAGUGAGGAAUAUUGGACAAUGGGCGCAAGCCUGAUCCAGCCAUGCCGCGUGCAGGAUGACGGUCCUAUGGAUUGUAAACUGCUUUUAUACGAGAAGAAACACUCCUUCGUGAAGGAGCUUGACGGUAUCGUAAGAAUAAGGAUCGGCUAACUCCGUGCCAGCAGCCGCGGUAAUAC
rnacentral:rRNA from 1 species